AUUGAACGCUGGCGGCAGGCCUAACACAUGCAAGUCGGACGAGCGGCGGACGGGUGAGUAAUGUAUGGGGAUCUGCCUGAUGGCGGGGGAUAACUACUGGAAACGGUAGCUAAUACCGCAUACCCUCAGAUGAACCCAUAUGGGAUUAGCUUGUAGGUGAGGUAACGGCUCACCUAGUCGACGAUCCCUAGCGGGUCUGAGAGGAUGAUCAGCCACAUGGGGACUGGGACAGGGCCCAGACUCCUACGGGAGGAAGCAGUGGGGAAUAUUGCACAAUGGGCGCAAGCCUGAUGCAGCCACGCCGCGUGUAUGAAGAAGGCCUUCGGGUUGUAAAGUACUUUCAUUCGGGAGGCGUUACCGACAGAGGAAGCACCGGCUAACUCCGUGCCAGCAGCCGCGGUAAUUC
rnacentral:rRNA from 1 species